AAUAAAGAUAGAGGCGCAAAGAAAAUCAGUACGAUUCAGUAGGGUGACACCCGUUGAUUGAGUCCGAAAGGGUUCUUUGCCGAAGUAGAUGAAAAUAGUCAUAAUUUAUCUGCUGGGGCUUCGUUUAAUAAGCGGAGCACUGUCACGAAACUUUCGUGGAGCACUAUCAUACUA
rnacentral:ncRNA from 2 species